AUUAUUUCAAAUUUUGACAGUCUAGUAUAAUGAAAGAUUGACAAGAACACAGAACGACAUGAGUCAGAAUUUUUCGGGAUUUACCCAUCUUUUGAUUUCUAUUCCUCCGUAUCUCAGAGCUUUUUUACUGGGCUUUUUGACUCACCUUCGAAUCCCAAGUUUUGCAAAGAGGAAAGUCCCACUUCAUCUUGCGCUGUUUUCUUCUUCAAUACGCGGGUUUUUUACAUAUUACAUGGAAAGGGAAAUAAAGAAUUAAGAAAAAUGAGCGUUUCUUUGACGGUAAUGACCUUUAAUCUUCUUGAAGAUCAGGUAGAAGGCAGCCCAAAUUCAUGGGAUAAAAGGAAGGAUUUGUGUGUAACAGUCAUCACCAGUUACUCUCCAAUGAUUCUUUGCACCCAACAAGGUUCGUGUUUGAUUAGUUUGUCGGAAAACUAAUAUAUCUCUGGAUCUUGAUCGUUUAUUGCAUUUGGGCCUGCUUGGAUUUACCAUUUGGAGAUCGGUAUCGUUUGUUUUUAGAAAUUGUUAAGAUUUAUUUUUGGAAAAAGUGACAAUGGCGGUUCGACUGUUUUUUUUUUUUUUUCCUUUUUUAUUUUUUUGUUGAUUUUGAUUGAUUUUAAGAAUUUUUUUCUUUUGUUUUUGCACGUGGUUAGGCUUGAAGACACAAUUGGAUUAUCUUCAGCAAUGCUUGCCUGGUAAAGUUCUUCAUUAUUUGGUUGAUAGAUCGCAUUAGAAGAAAUUUUGAGUUUUUCUUUUUGACUGUCAUUAAAAAAGGGGGAAAUGCUCAAGAGAUUUCAUCUUGUAGAAAUAAAAUGGACCUGCUUAUGUAUCAUUGAAAUCGACCCUCUUGCUCAAGAACUAUGGAAUAAGAUAAAAUUUAUAAUUCAACUCAAUUUUUGUAAUCAGCUAAAGUCAAGUUAUAUUGGCAACUUCUCAGUUUUUAUUUUAUUUUCUUUUUUGAGUUAAGAUAACUAGUAUCAACUCAUGUUAAGGCUCUAAUUGCUUCAAAUGAAAUGUUUUUGGUUUUAAAAACUUAUCCGGGGGGAAAAAAAUUUAUGAAAAAGAAACUUUGUGAUACCUUUAUCUUUGAGCUGCUGACUACUAGCAAUAGCCAGUAAAUGCUAACAUGGAGGGGUCUUGUGCAAUUUGUCGUGGUUUCUGAUGACUAUCUAGUUGUUACUGGUGACAAGUAUAUGGUGGUCAGGGACUGGUGACAGUCUGCUGUGAUGGUUAAAUAACUUAAGACUACUGGAUGGUGCUUGCAAUGCUUGCUUCAUGGAUGUCAAUGACUGCAAGGUAUCCUCAGGCAACUGUACAGUAGUUGCUGGUAGCUUACAGGUGUUCGUUGGUCGGUGGUCUGUGUUUGAUGUCAUCACUGGCAGGGUGGUAAUAGGUAGUGGUUAUCCAGUGGCUGCUGGUGGUUUUGCACAAAAAAUUUCCCAUGUGUAAAUGGAGAAAACAUCUUUAUUCAAAUUAACUUAGCUUUCCUUCAACCAGAAAAAACAUUUUUUGUCAAUCAAUUGAAAUUUUAUACACUGAACAUCAGAAAAUGUGGAAAAAAAUUUCACUAGUAUAACAAUCAGAGAUUAAGUGGAAAGGAUAGAACUAUUGGCUUUGUCUGAUUGAAAUCUGUGGGUGGUAUAUGAGAUCAUGGCAGUUGAAAUAUCUUCUGACCAUCCCGACGCAGCACUCACUUAAACACCAUUACUUUUACUUUCUGAUAAGAAAAUACGUGCCUGCAUUUCUAAGUUAGUAUUUCUGGUUAUGCUUUAAAAUCAAGGAUAUUGUGUCUAUUAAGUUGAUGAUGACGGUCCUUAUAUUGAAUAAUCUCUUAUAGUCGGAUUAUCUACCAGCUACUAGGUGAACAAGUUGAAAGAAGUCUCCUUAGAAUUGUUUAAUUGGUGGAUGAAUACCCAACACCUAGAAAGAACCUGAAGGCUGGAGAAUAAGGUGUUCAGCACUUGGAAAAGAAGCUCUAAAGUAUUGCAAAAGUUGAUGCAUACUUUGGUUCACCUUGAGUUUAAAGAGUUGAGAAUGUCACAAUAUCAGCUGUUUCCUGGUAGACUGAGUCUUGCUUGAUAGCAUAGGCAUAUGUGGUGUAUCUAUUUGUUAAUUUUUGUCCAAACAAUUAUAUCUUGUAGAAUUUUUUAUUGGGUGUCAAAUGGAAAGUUGUUAAAAUUUUGUUAAUAAAUUAACAAUAUAAAGAGUCGUUCGUAACCAAAUUAGAUGAAUUUGCCACACUGGACUUCAUGUGGUUUCAUUGCUGGUCAUAGUAGCUUUUGGUUUUCAGAUGAGCCAGUAUAUGGUACGGGGCGUAAAAGCAUAAUGAGCACAUAAAGAUUUGCACAAAGUGAUGGAGGAGAUGAGCAGGAAUACAUCAGAGAUAAUACUUCAAACAGAUUGAUAUGAAUUUAUACUUUAGUUCUAAAUUUCUAAAAUGUAGAGUUAUUAAGGGAUAGGCGAGUGAGUGUUCUCUGAUAAAUGGCCACAUUGUGUGGUUGAAUAGAUUUAUGAAAGAAUGGAAUGAAAUAGAAUAAAAUUGGGAUAUCCCAUUUGUGGCAUAUUUUAGACAGAAUAUACAAGUCAAGCUAUAUUGCCGUUGUUGAUUCUGUUUGGUUGUUCGUCAAUAAUGCUGAAAGUGAUACCUGUAAAAUUACUAUGUAUAACCUUGUAUUAACAAAAUUUGUACUACUACAUUACAAUCAUAAUCUAAUCAAUUAUUGGUCACAAUAAACAAAUGCAAUGUAGUAAAGCAUGCCUUUCCCGUGCUUUUUAGAAGUUCUAUGCCAUGCCACUGCAGAAGAGCAUGGUGCAAUAAGUCUCACAUUGGUAAGUGUUAGCUUAGGCUCAAGCCUAGAUAUCUUUUAAACAACUAUCAUGGAGCGUAGAAGUAGUGGGUGGACAGGGAAGAUGCCAUCAGUAGAGGUGUUGGUAUCCGGAUAUAUAAAAUGGUAAAGAGCUUUUAUCUUUUGAGCAUCGAUUCCCAAUGUUAUCCAAGUCUUGGUCAUUCAUCCAAAUAAUAACUGUUUUGAUGGUAAUGUUUUAUAUAACGUGGAAAUUACAAGCUAAUGUUAUAAUCCUUUGCAAUAACUCAUUUCUCUUGAAUUGGUAUAUUCUAUAUGAUGUGCAACUCAUUCUCUCCAAUGAAAUAGAUUAUGAACAUUUUGGAAUAUCAAGGAAAGGAUCUGACGACACUUCAGAUCAACAUUGCACUAUCUUUUAUGAUAAGGAAAAGGUGAAAUAUCUAACUCUUUUUCUUUAUCAGGAAAAUCAAAAAUAUAAUUUCUUUCUAAAACAUUACCUAAUUGAUGCAGGUUGAGCUGCUGGAAGGUGGAACUUUUUGGUUGUCAGAGUCGCCUUCAGUGCCUGGAAGCACAUCAUGGGGGUCUGCAGAUCCAUGCAUUGCAACGUGGGCUAUAUCCUUUAGCGCUUCUAUAAGGUGUCUUAAAUUAUUAUUUGCCGCAUAGUACUACUGCAUGCAAUAACUGUGCGAACUUUGUUUACCUUGAUAAAUUGUGUACACAUUCCAACUAAAAGGAGUUGAGCCACCGGGUUUUUCGUUUGAAAUCGUGAAUACAAACAUGGAUGAGUUCAGUCCUCGUGCUCGUAGGCGGGGUGCUUUGCUCACAUGGCAGCAUAUUGCAUCCUUACCUCCUAGCUUGCCUGUUGUGUAUUGUGGAGGAUUUAAUACACAAAAGGAAUCAACUACAGGACGUUUUCUUCUUGGACGAUCAAGGUAUUACUUUCAGUUUCUAUAUGUCGUUCAUCUUUUAGCAAAUCUAUCCUCUUUUCUUUUCUCGUACUAGUAAAGCUCAACUUGAUCAAUAGCAGUUAUAUUCACACAUGAAUCAAGUGAUCCUGGU
rnacentral:lncRNA from 1 species